GCAUAUACCAAUUUUUCUUUCUUUACAUAAUAUAGUUUUUUUAUUUCAACAUGUUGCUGAUCUUUGGGCAAGGCGUUUGGAAUGUGAGAAAAGUUCAAAUGUUAUUUCAAUAAUAAUACCUUUGACAAUAAUAGCAUUGAGUACCACUAUGGUACUUUCUACAUCAUUAAAGGAAUUUAGAGGAGCUCUCUUUUGGAUGAUACUGCAUCUUAUAUCAUCAGGAGUUUUAGUAUUUUUGGAUCAAUUAGAUAAAUCUUAUUCUGAAGAAAAUGCACUUCCAAAAUUGUAUUGUUGUUUUAUAUUCAGUGUUAUUGUUUUAGGUUCUACAAG